rnacentral:rRNA from 1 species
AGUCCACAUCGACGGGGAGGUUUGGCACCUCGAUGUCGGCUCAUCACAUCCUGGGGCUGUAGUAGGUCCCAAGGGUUGGGCUGUUCGCCCAUUAAAGUGGUACGCGGGCUGGGUUCAGAACGUCGUGGGACAGUUCGGUCCCUAUCCGUCGCAGGCGUAGGAAAUUUGAGAAGACCUGUCCUUAGUACGAGAGGACCGGGAUGGACGUACCUCUGGUGUACCAGUUGUUCUGCC